GAUGAACGCUGGCGGCGUGCCUAAUACAUGCAAGUCGAGCGAACAGAUGAGGAGCUUGCUCCUCUGACGUUAGCGGCGGACGGGUGAGUAACACGUGGAUAACCUACCUAUAAGACUGGGAUAGCUUCGGGAAACCGGAGCUAAUACCGGAUAAUAUAUUGAACCGCAUGGUUCAAUAGUGAAAGACGGUUUUGCUGUCACUUAUAGAUGGAUCCGCGCCGCAUUAGCUAGUUGGUAAGGUAACGGCUUACCAAGGCAACGAUGCGUAGCCGACCUGAGAGGGUGAUCGGCCACACUGGAACUGAGACACGGUCCAGACUCCUACGGGAGGCAGCAGUAGGGAAUCUUCCGCAAUGGGCGAAAGCCUGACGGAGCAACGCCGCGUGAGUGAUGAAGGUCUUCGGAUCGUAAAACUCUGUUAUUAGGGAAGAACAAAUGUGUAAGUAACUAUGCACGUCUUGACGGUACCUAAUCAGAAAGCCACGGCUAACUACGUG
rnacentral:rRNA from 1 species